rfam:Stomoxys calcitrans breed 8C7A2A5H3J4 unplaced genomic scaffold Scaffold19, whole genome shotgun sequence.
GCCAAUGAUAUUGUCCUGUCACAGCAGUAUGGUUUUUACAAUAUUUUACUGCUGGGCCGGGGCAUUAACAUUGUU